UAAGCAUAUCUAGUGUUUCAAUAUGUAUUGUCAUUCCUCUGUAUAUUAUGUAUGUUGUACGUAUAUGGAUGAACACUAUAUUGUAUCAAUAUAAUUUAAUUUCCAUUAUGUACUUACACUUCAUACUGUGUAUCAGUGUUUCUCACUUCUUCUCUUCUAUAGUAGCCAGACUGUAAAUCUAGAUUUUGCUGACACACACACACACACAUACACACAAUGUUGGGCAGGUACAGUAAUGGCACAAAAUACCAGUAGAUCAGAAAUGAACACAGACAGCAACUUAGAACUGCAGUGACAACAACAUUUUGCCCAGGCAAGAGCUUUAUAAAUAUUACUCAUCACACGCAUGAACAUUUCUUAUACAAGUUUAGUUUAGUUUAAUAUGUUUAUUAUGCACCCCAUACCCAUCCUGUGGGCGGUAGUCAAAAGAUUACAGAGGUACAUAAUUGGUCCAGGGACUGGACUCCAAAGUUUUGAUAGCUGAGCAAGUUACAAAGGUAAUGAACUAGAUCUGGUCAUAAUCAUGACCAAGUUACAAGAAGAGACAUUAUUAUUAGAGCAAGAAGCUGAGAGGAUCUGUUCCACUAUCAAUACAGCCAUACAACACACAGAGUAGCUCAGAACUAACUGAUUCACCUCAUAAGCUAGAAAGUGUAGCUCAACAUCUGGAAGGUUCCUCUGCUGAAAGUGGGUCAGUAGAAGUUGAUACAGGUGGAACUGCAGAGGAGGCACGAGCAUGUGUAAGGCAGUAUUUUGUACAGUUGAGAGAUCAACUUAACUAGCAGGAAACACAAGCAAUGACCUACUAGACCACAUCUGGAUCAACACCAUAUCCCCUUUAAAAUCAGAUGGUAGCUGUGGUUAUUGACGGAGAACGUGCUACUCAAGAAGACGAUAGUAAGUUGAUAAUGGCCUCCCAGGAUCUUUCACCUCAACUAGCUCAUGUUACUUCUCAGGAGCAGAAGUUAGCUCACCUAGUAUCACUGGUCCCAAACCCAGCUAUACCUAUUACACUUACAAAGGAUAAUCGUAUCCACAUUUGAGCCAGAAUAGAGAUGCGUGUUGUAACUCUUGGUCUCGAUGGCGCAGGCAAGACAUCCAUUCUUUUUAAAUUGAAGGAAGACGAGUUUGUUUCAACAAUACCCACUGUUGGUUUCAAUGUUGAAGCUAUAGAAUAUAAAAACUUUAAAAAUAUUCUAAAAUAUUCUCCCUCAACUACCUCAAGUCAUACCUCAGCAACAGAAGCCAAUAUGUGUACGCAAAUGGAGCAAACUCUUCUGCACAACCAAUUACAGUUGGUGUCCCACAGGGAAGUGUCCUUGGCCCUUUUCUCUUUCUCCUAUACAUAAAUGACCUACCAAAUGCUUCGCAAUUACUCAAACCCACACUAUU